AAACAAUCCAGGGUCUGACAUUGAUGGCUAUUAUUGCUUAUAUUAUUAUUCAACUUACAUUUGCAUCAGAAAGGAAGGCAAGGGCAGCCUUAAGUACAAGUGGCUGAAAUUUGUCUUGUAUGCCCCCAGGAGUGCUCUUUUCUUUUCUCUCAGUUAUUUGAUAACUGAUACUGAGCCAUGAGAUGAUAAAGUAUCUUUUUCUGGGACGCUUUAUAAGCUAAGAAGAG
rnacentral:lncRNA from 10 species